UACAGAGGUCUCAAGCGUUGUUCGGAUUCAUUGGGCGUAAAGGGUGUGUAGGUGGCGCGCUAAGUCGGGUGUGAAAUUUCGGAGCUUAACUCCGAAACUGCAUUCGAUACUGGCGUGCUUGAGGACUGGAGAGGAGACUGGAAUUUACGGUGUAGCGGUGAAAUGCGUAGAUAUCGUAAGGAAGACCAGUGGCGAAGGCGGGUCUCUGGACAGUUCCUGACACUGAGACACGAAGGCCAGGGGAGCAAACGGG
rnacentral:rRNA from 1 species